UACGUAGGGGGCGAGCGUUGUCCGGAUUUAUUGGGCGUAAAGAGCGUGUAGGCGGCUAGGUAGGUCCGUUGUGAAAACUCGAGGCUCAACCUCGAGACGUCGAUGGAAACCAUCUAGCUAGAGUCCGGAAGAGGAGAGUGGAAUUCCUGGUGUAGCGGUGAAAUGCGCAGAUAUCAGGAAGAACACCCGUGGCGAAGGCGGCUCUCUGGUACGUGACUGACGCUGAGACGCGAAAGCGUGGGGAGCGAACAGG
rnacentral:rRNA from 1 species